AACGAACGCUGGCGGCAGGCUUAACACAUGCAAGUCGAACGCCCCGCAAGGGGAGUGGCAGUCGGGUGAGUAACGCGUGGGAACAUACCCUUUCCUGCGGAAUAGCUCUGGGAAACUGGAAUUAAUACCGCAUACGCCCUACGGGGGAAAGAUUUAUCGGGGAAGGAUUGGCCCGCGUUGGAUUAGCUAGUUGGUGGGGUAAAGGCCUACCAAGGCGACGAUCCAUAGCUGGUUUGAGAGGAUGAUCAGCCACAUUGGGACUGAGACACGGCCCAAACUCCUACGGGAGGCAGCAGUGGGGAAUAUUGGACAAUGGGCGCAAGCCUGAUCCAGCCAUGCCGCGUGAGUGAUGAAGGCCUUAGGGUUGUAAAGCUCUUUCACCGAUGAAGAUAAUGACGGUAGUCGGAGAAGAAGCCCCGGCUAACUUCGUGCCAGCCGCCGCAGUAACAC
rnacentral:rRNA from 1 species